rnacentral:lncRNA from 1 species
GUCGUUUGUUUAUGUGUUACAUAUUUGUUUUUCUUUCAUUUUUUUUUAUAUAAAUAAGGCCGUUUGUUUUCUCGCGUUUGAAUUGUUUUACAUUGUCUUAUCGGGGCCUUUUAUAGCUGACUAUGCGGUAUGGGCUUUGCUCAUUGUUGAAGGCCGUACGGUGACCUAUAGUUGUUAAUGUCUGUGUCAUUUUGGUCUCUUG